CUCUACCUUCCAUUCCCAUUUGAGGUAGGCCUCAGCAUCAUUCCUCUCUUGGAAUGGUGGCAUAUGCAUCUUGAUGGAAUUGAUGUCUCCAUCUUCUUUUCGGUAAUCUCUCUUAUCACCUUGAUUAUCACCACAAGAUUCAGUAUCUUUCUAGGCUGGUCGACACUUGGUUGGGCUAUUGUUCCUUCUUUAGUCUCGUUCAUCCAUCUUGGCGGCUAGGUCUCAAAUGGCUAGACUAAGCUGGGUGAACAUAUCCUCUAUUUUUUCCUCCAAGGUGGCGAGUCUACUGUUCUCACUUAGUUGAGACAUAGUGAGAUAUAUAUAAAGAAAAAGGUUAGUGAAAAAAAUUCUCUCCAUUGCCAUUCACUCAGGUUUACAUCAAAAUCUCUUGACACUUAAUCUUUUUUUCUUUAUUUGAGUGUUUAGAACUAGAUCAUAUUGAAUCAAGAUAUGCACGUUAGUCUUAAGACUCUAAAAAGAAUCUUAAAGGGGAUCUUGUUUAUAGAAGCUCAGAAAUAAAACACAUAGAUGAAGAAGAUGUGAUGUGUUUUUAUUAUUACUAUACUAAGUAACUAGAAUGCCAUAAGUUAUUUAG
rnacentral:lncRNA from 1 species